rnacentral:rRNA from 1 species
UGGGGAAUAUUGCACAAUGGGGGAAACCCUGAUGCAGCAACGCCGCGUGAAGGAAGAAGGUUUUCGGAUCGUAAACUUCUAUCAACAGGGACGAAACAAAUGACGGUACCUGAAUAAGAAGCCCCGGCUAACUACGUGCCAGCAGCCGCGGUAAUACGUAGGGGGCAAGCGUUAUCCGGAAUUACUGGGUGUAAAGGGAGCGUAGGCGGCACGUCAAGCCAGAUGUGAAAGCCCGGGGCUUAACCCCGAGGAUUGCAUUUGGAACUGGCGAGCUAGAGUACAGGAGAGGAAAGCGGAAUUCCUAGUGUAGCGGUGAAAUGCGUAGAUAUUAGGAAGAACACCAGUGGCGAAGGCGGCUUUCUGGACUGAAACUGACGCUGAGGCUCGAAAGCGUGGGGAGCAAACAGG